rnacentral:misc_RNA from 1 species
UUAAGUUCAGCGGGUAGUCCUACCUGAUUUGAGAUCAAACAUCCAAAAAGCUGUCCUCGCUGAGGAGAGACAUUUGUGAGCCCCAGCGAACCUCCAUCACUGAAGGUUGCCUGACGGAAAACCACAAGCGUAGAUAGUUAUCACACCUGGGAUGCCACCAAACACUGGGAAGCUGAUCCAUUUGAGAGGAGCCGACCAUG